rnacentral:rRNA from 1 species
GCGUAAAGGGUGUGUAAGCGGUUCUUUAAGUUUGGUGUGAAAUCUCCCGGCUUAACCGGGAGGGUGCGCCCAAUACUGAAGGACUAGAGUAUGGGAGAGGAAAGUGGAAUUCCUGGUGUAGCGGUGAAAUGCGUAGAUAUCAGGAGGAACACCGGUGGUGUAGACGGCUUUCUGGACCAUUACUGACGCUGAGACACGAAAGCGUGGGUAGCAAACAGGAUUAGAUACCCUGGUAGUCCACGCCCUAAACGAUGCAUAUUUGGUGUGGGCGGUUCAAUUUGUCCGUGCCGGAGCUAACGCGUUAAAUAUGCCGCCUGGGGAGUACAGUCGCAAGGCUGAAACUC